CUUGGAAUGGAUAGCAAAUGCAUGGGCCAAGUUGAUGGACGAAUUUGAGAACUAAAGAGGCCAAGAAUGUGAAGAAUUAUGGUCCAAAAGAUAAAGAAAACAGCCCAAAAAUCUGUCACCCCAACUUGCAUUCCUUGCCAUGCAAACCAUAUAGAAUUCCCUUUGGAUUCCAUGCCAUGCUUGAUCACUCUUGUCCCCUACAUAAUUUCUAAUUUCAUGCUUCAUUCAAUUCAUUUAAUUAUUACACUCAAUUGCUUGAUACCUCUUGUUCCCUUCACUCAUUAGAUUUUAGACAACAUUUACAUCCAUUACAUGCACCAAUUGAUGCUCCAUCAUUCACAUUUGGAAUCCUAUGCCUUGUGUACCACAUGUUGCUGCACCUUUGACCCAUUUAUUGACACAUUUUCACCUC
rnacentral:lncRNA from 1 species